UGAUCCUGGCUCAGAUUGAACGCUGGCGGCAGGCCUAACACAUGCAAGUCGAGCGGUAGCGGGAAGAGCUUGCUCUUUGCCGACGAGCGGCGGACGGGUGCGUAACACGUAGGAAUCUGCCCGGUAGUGGGGGAUAGCCCGGAGAAAUCCGGAUUAAUACCGCAUACGCCCUAAGGGGGAAAGCAGGGGAUCUUCGGACCUUGCGCUAUCGGAUGAGCCUGCGUCGGAUUAGCUUGUUGGUGGGGUAAAGGCCUACCAAGGCGACGAUCCGUAGCUGGUCUGAGAGGAUGAUCAGCCACACUGGGACUGAGACACGGCCCAGACUCCUACGGGAGGCAGCAGGA
rnacentral:rRNA from 1 species